GGUGGUUCUCGGGUGACACACCCCAGAAUCGGGCUCCCUCUUCUCUGGUUCCGGGUGCAUCACCCAAGAACCGCA
rfam:Myotis lucifugus cont2.13705, whole genome shotgun sequence.